rnacentral:rRNA from 1 species
GAUGAACGCUAGCGGCAGGCCUAAUACAUGCAAGUCGAACGGGAUCCAGAUCAAAGCUUGCUUUGGUUUGGUGAGAGUGGCGCACGGGUGCGUAACGCGUGGGCAACCUACCCUUGUCAGGGGGAUAGCCCGGCGAAAGUCGGAUUAAUACCGCAUGACAUCAUUGAGAGGCAUCUUUCGAUGAUCAAAGAUUUAUCGGACAAGGAUGGGCUCGCGUGACAUUAGCUAGUUGGUAAGGUAACGGCUUACCAAGGCUACGAUGUCUAGGGGCUCUGAGAGGAGAAUCCCCCACACUGGUACUGAGACACGGACCAGACUCCUACGGGAGGCAGCAGUAAGGAAUAUUGGUCAAUGGACGGAAGUCUGAACCAGCCAUGCCGCGUGCAGGAAGACGGCCCUAUGGGUUGUAAACUGCUUUUAUACGGGAACAAACGUCGGUACGUGUACCGGUCUGAGUGUACCGUAAGAAUAAGGAUCGGCUAACUCCGUG